rnacentral:rRNA from 1 species
UACGUAGGGGGCAAGCGUUGUCCGGAUUUAUUGGGCGUAAAGAGCGUGUAGGCGGUUUGGUAGGUCCGCUGUGAAAACUCGAGGCUCAACCUCGAGACGCCGGUGGAAACCAUCAGGCUAGAGUCCGGAAGAGGAGAGUGGAAUUCCUGGUGUAGCGGUGAAAUGCGCAGACAUCAGGAAGAACACCCGUGGCUAAGGCGGCUCUCUAGUACGGUACUGACGCUGAGACGCGAAAGCGUGGGGAGCGAACAGG